rnacentral:rRNA from 1 species
GUGGCGCACGGGUGAGUAAUGCAUGGGUCAUCUGCCUCGUAGAGGGGGAUAACUACGCGAAAGUGUAGCUAAUACCGCAUAUGCAGGAAACUGCAAAGGAGGGGAUCGCAAGACCUUCCGCUAUGAGAUGAGCUCAUGUCCCAUUAGCUAGUUGGCGGGGUAACAGCCCACCAAGGCAGAGAUGGGUAGCUGGUCUGAGAGGACGAUCAGCCACACUGGAACUGAGACACGGUCCAGACUCCUACGGGAGGCAGCAGUGGGGAAUAUUGCGCAAUGGGCGAAAGCCUGACGCAGCAACGCCGCGUGAGUGAUGAAGGCCUUCGGGUUGUAAAGCUCUUUCGGUUGGGAAGAAGGGUGUGCGCCCUAAUAAUGCGUACAUUUGAUGGUACCAAAAGAAGAAGCACCGGCUAACUUCGUGCCAGCAGCCGCGGUAAUACGAAGGGUGCGAGCGUUGUUCGGAAUGACUGGGCGUAAAGGGUUCGUAGGCGGGAAAGCAAGUUAAGUGUGAAAUCCCCGGGCUCAACCCGGGACGUGCACUUAAAACUGUUUUUCUUGAGUCGAGGAGAGGGUGAUGGAAUUGCUGGUGUAGGAGUGACAUCCGUAGAGAUCAGCAGGAACACCGGAGGCGAAGGCGAUCACCUGGCCGAAGACUGACGCUGAGGAACGAAAGCGUGGGGAGCAAACAGGAUUAGAUACCCUGGUAGUCCACGCCGUAAACGAUGAUAACUAGAUGUUGCGGGAAUUGACCCCUGCAGUAUCGCAGCUCACGCAUUAAGUUAUCCGCCUGGGG